rnacentral:rRNA from 1 species
AACGAACGCUGGCGGUAGGCUUAACACAUGCAAGUCGAACGAGAUCUUCGGAUCUAGUGGCAGACGGGUGAGGAACACGUGGGAACAUCCCUUUCAGUUCGGAAUAACGUUGGGAAACUAACGCUAAUACCGGAUACGUCCUUCGGGAGAUAGAUUUAUCGCUGAAAGAUUGGCCCGCGUCUAAGUAGCUAGUUGGUGAGGUAACGGCUCACCAAGGCUACGAUCAGUAGCUGAUCUGAGAGGAUGAUCAGCCUCAUUGGGACUGAGACACGGCCCAAACUCCUACGGGAGGCAGCAGUGGGGAAUAUUGGACGAUGGGCGCAAGCCUGAUCCAGCCAUGCCGCGUGAGUGAUGACGGCCUUCGGGUUGUAAAGCUCUUUUGUCCGGGAAGAUAAUGACUGUACCGGAAGAAUAAGCCCCGGCAAACUUCGUGCCAGCCGCCGCCGUAA